ensembl:lncRNA
UCCUGGGAGGAAAAAUUUCAAGCUUGUAUAAUCCCAUUUUAUUAGUUUUGUGCUGUUUACAACAGGCAUUGAGACAUUGUAGACAAAUCUGCAUCUAUUCCUCUAAUGAUUAACUGAAAAUGACAUUAAUGAAAAGAAAAAAGAAAGAAGAAAGAUACUGAAUAGAGGAAGAAUGGUGUAAAAAUUGUGAAGGCAGGUUUACAACAUAGGUUCUUGAAUCAUAUAAGAAAUACAAGAGCAAUGAUCGAUGUUAAAAUUUGUUAAGGAGUAACAAACACAUGCUCUUAAGAUGUCAGGUGAUUAUCAGAUAUUUAAGUCAUUUCUGAACAAACAAAAGUGAUUUUAACAUUGUCCUUUUGACAUGUGGGCACAUGACAUCUUGUGGGCAGGGACUAUUUCAUUCCCACUCUGUAAAUGUAUUGUGAUUGAGAGGUGAGGUAGUUGUAGGAGGUUAAUGGGUAGGCUAUGAAGUAUAGUCUUCAGAAAACAGAACAUUUCUAAAUCCCAUUUCUACCAUGGUAAUGGGAGAGAAAAUACAGAUUGCCCAUUGGACGGUGACUCAGAUGGUGUUUGAACACAGGAGGUGUGAAAAAAACGUUGCUCUUUACAGAUAGAAUAUUAUACUUUAAUCGAGCCUUUCAAGGGUUUCAUGUGUCGUCUGUUUUAAUAUGAAUUUAAUAUCAUGUCAUAUGAUUAACUACAUGCAAUCUGUUUCUUUUUUCUUUUUCUUUUUUAAACAAUCUGAUUAAGUAGUUUUAGUAAUGGCAGGAGAUCGGUUAAAGGAAUGGGUUCACCCUGUUUUAAUAGACUAGAGUAGUGGUUGUAGUUGUUGUAGGAGUGGUGGUACGAGUAGUUGGAGUAGUGGUUGGAGUAGUGGUUGAAGUAGUGGUUGGAGUAGGGGUUGUAGUAGUGGUUGUAGUAGUGGUUGAAGUAGUGGUUGGAGUAGGGGUUGGAGUAGUGGUUGGACUAGUGGUUGAAGUAGUGGUUGGAGUAGUGGUUGGAGUAGUGGUAAGACAUGACAUAAUUAUCUGAAUGACAUCAUGAUUGGUUAAAUAUGGGUCACAUGUUAUUAGACGAGUAGUGGUUGGAGUAGUGGUUGGAGUAGUGGUUGGAGUAGUGGUUGGGGUAGUGGUUGGAGUGGUGGUUGGAGUGGUGGUUGGAGUGGUGGUUGGAGUGGUGGUUGGAGUGGUGGGAUGAGUGGUGGUUGUGGAGGAAGAGUGGUGGUUAUAGUGGUGGGAUGAUGUUGUAGUGGUGGUCUGAGCGGUGGGACAAGUGGUGGGAUGAGUGGUGGUUGUAUUGGUGGGACGAUUGGUGGUUGUAAUGAUGGGAUGAGUGGUAGUUUCACUGGUAGUAUAAAUGGUGAUUGUAGCUAUAGGACUAGUUGUGGUUGUUGUGAAAGGAUAAGUAGUGGUUUUAGAGUUGGGAUGAGUGGUGGUUGGAGUGGUAGGAAGAGCGGUAGUUGUAGUGGUGGGACAAGAAUUGGGUGUAAUAUUUCAGUCACACAUUAUACCUGGUUAUUAUGACACAUCAGGUUUACAAGAUUAAAAAGAAUAGCUGAUGAGGAAAAAGAGGCCAAAUGAAAGACCAAAGCGGAGAAAUGAAGUCAGAGUUAUAGGACUUUGAUGAAAGAAAGAAGAGGCGGCAUUGUGGUGUGUUGGGGGCUUAGCAUGAGGAUGAGUUUUAGGACGAGUGGUGGUUGUUGUAGUGGGACGAGUGGUGGUUGUUGUGGUAGUGGUGGUUGUAGUGGUAGGACGAAUGGUGGUUGUAGUAGUGGGACGAGGGGUGGCAUUGGUAGGACGAGUGAUAGUUUUAGUGGGGGGAUGAGUGGUGGUUGUAAUAGUAGGAUGAGUGGUGGCAGUGGUAGGACGAGUACUGGCUGUAGUGGUGGUUGCGGUGGUAGGACUUGUUGGUGUAGGAGUUGAACUUGAUAUGGCUGUAUGGAGGCAUUAUUGUUAGUAUUUUUAAAAUAUGUUAAUGAUAAUCAAAACUCCAAAAAAAAUAUUAUAUGCGCUUUCACGCAUGCUUACCUUGUGUGAAUUUAGGGUUGAAUACAAGGCCAUUUAUUACACUGUUGUCAGCAAGCGCAUUCAUAAACAGGGCUUUGAUCACCUCAGCGUCGAUUUGGUUUGACUGGAACACGAGUGUAGCCUUUACAAGCACGGUUCCAGUUUGAUUACUGAAGAUACGGAAAGUGCUUUGUGUUUAGGUGUGCAUACAAAAACC